ACGAACGCUGGCGGCGUGCUUCACACCUGCCAGUCGCACGGAAAGGCCCUGCUUUUGUGGGGUGCUCGAGUGGCGAACGGGUGAGUAACACGUGAGUAACCUGCCCUUGACUUUGGGAUAACUUCAGGAAACUGGGGCUAAUACCGGAUAGGAGCUCCUGCUGCAUGGUGGGGGUUGGAAAGUUUCGGCGGUUGGGGAUGGACUCGCGGCUUAUCAGCUUGUUGGUGGGGUAGUGGCUUACCAAGGCUUUGACGGGUAGCCGGCCUGAGAGGGUGACCGGCCACAUUGGGACUGAGGUACGGCCCAGACUCCUACGGGAGGCAGCAGUGGGGAAUAUUGCACAAUGGGCGGAAGCCUGAUGCAGCAACGCCGCGUGCGGGAUGACGGCCUUCGGGUUGUAAACCGCUUUCGCCUGUGACGAAGCGUGAGUGACGGUAAUGGGUAAAGAAGCACCGGCUAACUACGUG
rnacentral:rRNA from 1 species